rnacentral:rRNA from 1 species
AGGUAGCAAUACCUAGCGGCAGACGGGUGCGUAACAUGUGGGAAUCUGCCUUUUGGUUCGGAAUAACACGAGGAAACUUGUGCUAAUACCGGAUAAGUCUUUACGGAGAAAGCUUUAUGCACCAUUGGAUGAGCCCGCAUUUGAUUAGUUUGUUGGUGAGGUAAUGGCUCACCAAGACUACAAUCAAUAGCUGAUUUGAGAGGAUGAUCAGCCACACUGGGACUGAGACACGGCCCAGACUCC